UACAGAGGGGGCAAGCGUUGUUCGGAAUUACUGGGCGUAAAGGGCGCGUAGGCGGCCUGUUAAGUCGAACGUGAAAUCCCUGGGCUCAACCCAGGAACUGCGUCCGAUACUGGCAGGCUUGAAUUCGGGAGAGGGAUGCGGAAUUCCCCAAGUAGAGGUGAAAUUCGUAGAUAUGGGGAGGAACACCGGUGGCGAAGGCGGCCACCUGGACGGUCACUGACGCUGAGACGCGAAAGCUAGGGGAGCAAACAGG
rnacentral:rRNA from 1 species